rnacentral:rRNA from 1 species
AGAGUUUGAUCCUGGCUCAGGAUGAACGCUGGCGGCGUGCCUAAUACAUGCAAGUCGAACGGAGAGCCAUUGUACUUGUACUUUGGUUUCUUAGUGGCGAACGGGUGAGUAACGCGUUGGUGACCUACCCCAGAGUGUGGGAUAACAGUCCGAAAGGAUUGCUAAUACCGCAUGUGGUCUUCGGUUUUAGAAACCGAUUUCGAAAGGAGCAAUUCGCUCUGGGAGGGGCCUGCGUCCCAUCAGCUAGUUGGUAGGGUAAUGGCUUACCAAGGCUAUGACGGGUAAGGGGCCUGAGAGGGUGACCCCUCACAAUGGAACUGAAACACGGUCCAUACACCUACGGGUGGCAGCAGUAGGGAAUAUUGGGCAAUGGGCGAAAAGCCUGACCCAGCAACGCCGCGUGUGCGAUGAAGGUCUUCGGAUCGUAAAGCACUUUUCUGGGAGAUGAGAAAGGACAGUAUCCCAGGAAUAAGCCUCGGCUAACUACGUGCCAGCAGCCGCGGUAAUACGUAGGAGGCGAGCGUUAUCCGGAUUUACUGGGCGUAAAGCGCGUGCAGGCGGUUCGGCAAGUUGGAUGUGAAAGCUCCCGGCUCAACUGGGAGAGGUCGUUCAAUACUACCGAACUAGAGGGCAUCAGAGGAAGGUGGAAUUCCCGGUGUAGUGGUGAAAUGCGUAGAUAUCGGGAGGAACACCAGUGGCGAAGGCGACCUUCUGGGAUGUUCCUGACGCUCAGACGCGAAGGCUAGGGUAGCAAACGGGAUUAGAGACCCCGGUAGUCCUAGCAGUAAACGAUGUAGACUUGGCGUCGGUGGGUUAAAAACCAUCGGUGUCGAAGCUAACGCGAUAAGUCUACCGCCUGGGAACUACGGCCGCAAGGUUAAAACUCAAAGGAAUUGACGG